rnacentral:rRNA from 1 species
UACGGGGGGGAGCAAGCGUUGUUCGGAUUUACUGGGCGUAAAGGGCGCGUAGGCGGCCACCGCAAGUCACUUGUGAAAUCUCCGGGCUUAACUCGGAACGGUCAAGUGAUACUGUCGUGCUAGAGUACAGAAGGGGCAACUGGAAUUCUCGGUGUAGCGGUGAAAUGCGUAGAUAUCGAGAGGAACACCUGCGGCGAAGGCGGGUUGCUGGGCUGAUACUGACGCUGAGGCGCGAAAGCUAGGGGAGCGAACGGG